rnacentral:rRNA from 1 species
UGAAUACGAGAUGCUACGGCGUCGAAGCAGUCUAUGUCAUACUUCCAAGAAAAGCUUGCACUGUCAUAAACAAAUAAUGCCUGUACCAUAACCGACACAGGUGGGUAGGUAGAGUAUACUAAGGGGCGCGAGAUAACUCUCUCUAAGGAACUCGGCAAAAUGACUCCGUAACUUCGGGAGAAGGAGUGCCUUAUUUAUAAGGUUGCAAUAACAAGACCCAAGCAACUGUUUAUCAAAAACACAGGUCUCCGCUAAGUCGUAAGACGAUGUAUGGGGGCUGACGCCUGCCCAGUGCCAGAAGGUUAAAGAAGUUGGUUAGCAUUAGCGAAGCUGAUGACUGAAGCCCUGGUGAACGGCGGCCGUAACGAUAACGGUCCUAAGGUAGCGAAAUUCCUUGUCGGGUAAGUUCCGACCCGCACGAAAGGCGUAAUGAUUUGGGUACUGUCUCAGAGAGGGACUCGGUGAAAUAGACUUGUCUGUGAAGAUGCGGACUACCUGCACCUGGACAGAAAGACCCUAUGAAGCUUUACUGUAACCUGAAAUUGAAAUUGGACUUUACUUGCGCAGUAUAGGUGGGAGGCUUUGAAGAUAUUCUUGCGGGAAUGUUGGAGCCAUCAGUGAGAUACCACUCUUGUAAUGUUAGAUUUCUAACUUUGUAUCAUUAUCUGGUCAAAGAACAGUUUCAGGCGGGCAGUUUGACUGGGGCGGUCGCCUCCUAAACGGUAACGGAGGCGCACAAAGGUUUCCUCUGAACGGGUAGAAAUCGUAUCUAGAGUGUAAAGGCAUAAGGAAGCUUGACCGUGAGACCUACAAGUCGAGCAGGGACGAAAGUCGGUCUUAGUGAUCUGACGGUGCUGAGUGGAAAGGCCGUCACUCAACGGAUAAAAGUUACUCUAGGAUAACAGGCUGAUCUCCCCCAAGAGUUCACAUCGACGGGGAGGUUUGGCACCUCGAUGUCGGCUCAUCGCAUCCUGGGGCGGUAGUACGUCCCAAGGGUUGGGCUGUUCGCCCAUGAAAGCGGUACGCGAGCUGGGUUCAGAACGUCGUGAGACAGUUCGGUCCAUAUCCGGUGUAGGCGUUAGAAUAUUGAGAGGAGCCUUCUCUAGUACGAGAGGACCGAGAAGGACACACCUCUGGUGUACCAGUUAUCGUGCCAACGGUAAACGCUGGGUAGCUAUGUGUGGAGCGGAUAACCGCUGAAAGCAUCUAAGUGGGAAGCCCACCUCAAGAUAAGUAUUCUCAU